UACGUAGGGUGCGAGCGUUGUCCGGAAUUAUUGGGCGUAAAGAGCUCGUAGGCGGUUCGUCGCGUCGGCUGUGAAAACCCGGAGCUCAACUCCGGGCCUGCAGUCGAUACGGGCGGACUAGAGUUCGGCAGGGGAGACUGGAAUUCCUGGUGUAGCGGUGGAAUGCGCAGAUAUCAGGAGGAACACCGAUGGCGAAGGCAGGUCUCUGGGCCACUACUGACGCUGAGAAGCGAAAGCAUGGGGAGCGAACAGG
rnacentral:rRNA from 1 species